rnacentral:rRNA from 1 species
UUGGAGGGCAAGUCUGGUGCCAGCAGCCGCGGUAAUUCCAGCUCCAAUAGCGUAUAUUAAAGUUGUUGCAGUUAAAAAGCUCGUAGUUGAAUUUCGGGGUCAGUAGGUCGGUCGUGCCACUGGUAUGAACUGGUUUUACUGAUUCCUCCCUCUUGAAGAACUGUAAUGCCAUUAAUUUGGUGUUGCAGGGAAUCAGGACUGUUACUUUGAAAAAAUUAGAGUGUUUAAAGCAGGCUUUAGCUUGAAUACAUUAGCAUGGAAUAAUGAAAUAGGACGUUUGAUCCUAUUUUGUUGGUUUCUAGGAUUGACGUAAUGAUUAAUAGGGAUAGUUGGGGGCAUUAGUAUUCAAUUGUCAGAGGUGAAAUUCUUGGAUUUAUUGAAGACUAACUACUGCGAAAGCAUUUGCCGAGGAUGUUUUCAUUAAUCAAGAACGAAAGUUAGGGGAUCGAAGACGAUCAGAUACCGUCGUAGUCUUAACCAUAAACUAUGCCGACUAGGGAUCGGAUGAUGUUAAUUUUUUAAUGACUCAUUCGGCGCCUUACGGGAAAC